rnacentral:lncRNA from 1 species
AUGGCCAGGAGAACGGAGUUGAGAAGAAGCAAGAAGCUAAGGCAAAGAGGCUGGUCCCCAUCAGGGAAUGGCACGACAAGGAUGGCUGCCUGCGAGCACAGAGCUUUCCCAUCCACUCCCACGUGGUGCACUGCCCUUGAGCCCUUGCUGAUGGCUUUUGCAGACGGAGGCGUAGAGCUGCAGAUCUGCCUAGGUGAGCAGAGUGGACAUGGACCGCCCAUUCAGCACUCACUCUGUGCAGGACUGUGUGCAAGCAGGAAUCCGGCCCUGAAGUCUCCGUCCGCAUACUCUAGGUGGGCACCAGGAUUUAUCAACGGAAACUUUCUCCUGGACGGUGAGGAGCGGCUCUCCAGCCCCAGGAGCGGCUCACCACCUUCGUCCCCUCUCCACAGCUGCCUUGCCUAGCUUGGGAUCCAUAACAGAAGCAGAGUUGGUAUUGCUGCUUUUGUUUUUUGUUUUAUUUGUUGUAUUUUUCACCCCAGGACAAACAAAACAAGGCCUACUGUGUAUGCUGGAGUUCCUUUGAAGCAGAAAUUAGAAUCUUUGCUGCAAGAGAGAAAGGGAUUACAAAACAUUGCACAUGUCCUCUUUCUCUCCUUUUACGGCAAAGCUGCAAGAGAAGCCAGACCCAGGGGUAUUCACUGUAACCAACAGAUUAACCAAAUAGGUCCAGGGAGUCACUUGGGAUCUUUUUCCUUUACACAAGCCCCAUGUGAGGACAGGGCUGGCGGGGAGUGCAGGGAGGAGGCCGCCCUUGCUGGGCAUAGCAAUUAUUCUAAAAACAUCUGGAGUAUGAAAUUGUAAAACGCCAGCAUGACCGCGGGUCAGGUUCGGGCCUGGGAUGUUCCUUGUGUGACGCUACCCGAGGGGCUGGCUGGGACGCUCUCCUGCUGGGGACGAUCUGCCCUCUUCCUCCAGCUGUGUGGAAGCAAAGGCUCCCGACAGAGGUGUGACUGGACCCCGCGCCCUUCCCUGUUCUUCCGGAUUCUCAGACAGGAAGAAAUCCUGCUUAGACGUCGGCCGCACACAAGCGCGGCUGACUUUUGCUUUCUGUUUCACAGAUAUGUUCAACUAACAUUUAAAAAAAUUAAUAUAAAGAAAGGAGAUUGUAUGUAGUUCAUAGAUACAGUUCUAAGAAUGUAAUGAUACUUCUUUCCUUUCUUUUUAAAAUUUUUGCAAUAACAUAUUUUUAGCUUACUUCAUAGGCACAGGCUUAAUCCUCCACUAAACAGAGUUCAACAAGUGAAAAGAAGAAAGACCAGUGCCCACUUCCCCCAGAUCCAUGUCACUGGUGUGUACAAGGAGACUCCAGAAAGUUCAUGGAAAAUGGAGUUAAAAUUAGGUAAGUUUAUCUUGGUGCCAAAAUUUUUGAAAUCCAUGCAUAGUUUUUUUUUUUUUUUUUUAAAUAAUACACAGUUUCCAUGAACUUUCUGAAAUACCUUCACACUGCAACCCAAUGAAGGGCUAGCAUUCUAUGGUGGCUUUUCUCCAACACAGUCCUCCUGCCUCACAGCUGCCUGGGGACUAAGCAGCCAUGCAUGUUUUAGAGCCCCCCACACCAACUGCUCCUCUGCUAAAUAGGUUUAAAUAGGUUUAAAAACACAGAGUUUUUUUAUAGAUAUAUUAAUAUACAUUAAUUUUUUGUACUCUGUAUAUUAGCUACCACAAAUCAUAUAAGAUAUGUGAUAUUUGUCUUUUUUUGAUAUUUGUCUUUUGAGUCUGGCUUAUUUAAUUGAGAAUAAUAGUCUCCAUGGCAUCCAUUUUGUUGCAAAAGACAGGAUUUCAUUCUUUUUUGUGGCUAAAGAGUAUUUCAUUGUGUAUAUGUAUAUGUAUAUGUAUACGUAUAUAUUCUUUUUUGAAAAAACCUGAGCUCCAACACUUUUACCAAUUACUCUGAAAUCGGUAAAAGAAAAUGAUUCAGCGAAUCUAGGCUUCUUAAGAGUCACAGUUUGCAUGCAGCUGAUGAUGAAAAAUCAUCUUCACAGAAGAAUACCAGCUGAUAAAGGGGAGGAAAAAGGAAUCAGAUCCCUCUUCUGCCCUCUCAGACCAAACAGAGGGCUCAGACAGGGGUCACCAGUGGCAGCAAUGGCCAGGAUACGUUAGAGCAGAAUAAAGUCAUUUAUACUCAUGUAGACA